CAAGAAGAUAGUCAUUUCGGCAUUCCUCCGGAAGGCUUUGGACUGGUGGAGAUAUCCUGUUCACCUCCACAGAGGGUUUCCUCUAGGAGUGCAGUAGACAUUGCUUACCUAGAUUUCAGUAAGGCUUUUGACACUGUUGCACAUAGAAGGCUUAUCAAUAAACUGCAAUCUUUAAGUUUGGAUUCUAAUAUUGUUGAAUGGGUAAUGCAGUGGCUGAGUGACAGGCAACAGAGGGUUGUAGUCAAUGGAGUAUAUUCGAAGCUUGGGCUUGUCACCAGUGGGGUACCUCAGGGAUCUGUACUUGGACCCAUUCUCUUUAAUAUUUUUAUUAGUGAUAUUGCAGAAGGACUUGAUGGUAAGGUAUGUCUUUUUGCUGAUGAUACUAAGAUAUGUAACAGGGUUGAUGUUCCAGGAGGGAUAAGCCAAAUGGCA